rnacentral:lncRNA from 1 species
AAGAAAAGAAAAAGAAGAUCUAGCUAUUUAAUGAUUUAAAUCAAACAAAUAAUACCUUACAAUUUAUAUAUAUUUACUCUUGUUUCUUUAAUUGGUUGCUCUCGUUUAAAGAUAGAACUUAAUUAUAAAUAUAUUGAAUCAUAAAAUCAAAAACAUUAUAUGAAGUGAUAGAAGAUGAUAAUAUAUGAAGUCAUAAUGAUAAGAAGAAGAGAUUUUUCUCGAUCAUUACAGUAGCAGUAAUAAUGAUCCCAAAAGAAAAGAGAUAUAUAUGAAGUCAGGUAGAAUAACAUUAAUUGAAAACAAGUAGGAAGUUUGAGAAAGUCGUAAUACUUACAAAGUGAGCAGCUGAGGAAGAAAGCGGAGGAAUAUGAGA